CAAGCUGGACAGCCGCGCGGGCGGGGCGAAAGGCCCGUCUGUGAGGAAAGUCCGGGCUCCACAGGGCAAGGAUAACGGAUAACAUCCGCCGGGGGCGACCCUAGGAAAAGUGCAACAGAGAUAUACCGCUGGCGGCUUGCCGCCAGUAAGGGUGGAAAGGCGAGGUAAGAGCUCACCCGAUGGCUGGGAACAGCCCAUCGCUGUAAACUCUAUCCGGAGCAACGCCGUGGAGGGACAAUAGGUUGGCCCGACCGUCCCGGGGAGGCGGCUGGAGCGCGUCGGCAACGGCGCGUCGAGAUAGAUGGCUGUCUUAAAAGACAGAACCCGGCUUACAGGCUUACUUGU
rnacentral:RNase_P_RNA from 1 species